rnacentral:lncRNA from 1 species
GUUAAACUAUUUUCAUAUUAACAAGAUUGAGUACGUAAAAAAUAAAGCUGUUCGUUUUAUCUACCGUCGCAACGAUAGGGGAUUUUUCACCUUCCUUUAACUUCUCUAGUCAGAACUUGACCAUUCUGGCAACGCAUCGCCACAACGAAAGCAUAAAGUUCCUGCACACCUUAAUUAACUC